CCCCCCAAACUCCCAAAAUCCCCAAACUCCCAAACUCCCAAAAUCCCAAAAUCCCCAAAUCCCCAAAAUCCCCAAACCCCCAAAAUCCCAAAAUCCCCAAAAUCCCCAAAAACCCCAAAACCCCAAACUCCCAAAAUCCCCAAAAUCCCAAAAUCCCCAAAUCCCCAAAACCCCAAAAUCCCCAAAAUCCCCAAAAACCCCAAAAUCCCCAAACUCCCAAAAUCCCCAAAUCCCCAAAAACCCCAAACUCCCAAAAUCCCCAAAAUCCCCCAAAAUCUCCCAAAAUCCCAAAAUCCCCAAAACCCCCAAAAACCCCAAAACCCCAAACUCCCAAAAUCCCCAAAAUCCCAAAAUCCCCAAAUCCCCAAAACCCCCAAAAUCCCCAAAAUCCCCAAAAACCCCAAAUCCCCAAAUCCCCCAAAACCCCAAAACCCCAAAAACCCCAAAUCCCCAAAACCCCCAAUCCCCAAAACCCCCAAAUCCCCAAAAUCCCCAAAACCCCCAAAACCCCAAACUCCCAAAAUCCCCAAAAUCCCAAAAUCCCCAAAUCCCCAAAACCCCAAAUCUCCAAACCCCAAAUCCCCAAAUCCCAAAAUCCCCAAAUCCCCAAAAUCUCCCAAACCCCCAACCCCCCAAAACCCCAAAAUCCCCAAAAUCCCCAAAUCCCCAAAACCCCAAAAUCCCCAAAAUCCCAAAAUCCCAAAAACCGCAAAACCCCAAAAUCCCCCAAAAACCCCAAAAUCCCCAAAAUCCCCAAAACCCCAAAACCCCCAAAUCCCCCAAAAACCCCAAAAUCCCCCAAAAACCCCAAAAUCCUGGGAAUUUGGGACAGAGAUGUGCGCGGAGCCCCCCUGGGCCGCGGGCCCUACGCCCCCUCCCCUUACGAGCGCCCAGCCUGGAACCCGCGCUUCUGCAUCAUCUCCGGCAACCAGCUGCUGAUGCUCGACGAGGAGGAGGUGAGCACCGGGAGGAUGGCUGGGGGGGUCCCCCAAAAAUCNCCCCAAAAUCCCCAAAAUCCCCAAAUCCCCAAAACCCCAAAAUCCCCAAAAUCCCAAAAUCCCAAAAACCGCAAAACCCCAAAAUCCCCCAAAAACCCCAAAAUCCCCAAAAACCCCAAAACCCCAAAAUCCGCAAAAUCCCAAAAUCCCCAAAAUCCCCAAAAACCCCAAAACCCCAAAAUCCCCAAAUCCCCAAAAACCCCAAAAUCCCAAAAUCCCCAAAA
ensembl:lncRNA